rnacentral:rRNA from 1 species
AUCAGGGGUAAACCUGUGGAACUCGAACGAGCGAACGGGGAGACUCAUCGUUCUUCCGGGAGUCCGCGGCGUUCGGUCACGUCGUAGAUUCGUCUGCGUCGGAUCGCGCGUCGCAGCAGGCUUUCGGAGUGCGUGCACUUCUCCCUUAGUAAAACACUGCGACCCGUUGAAUCGGUCGGUCGAACGCGCCAGCGAUUGUCCAGUCUUCUCCGGGAGAAUGAGUCGCGGUGUCGUGGCCGACUUUCGACGGUAACGAACGAGGUUCGCGUCCGCCCUUYGGCGUUCGCGGCGYAGCGGCGUCGCUCCCCUUCAGGUCUUCUGCGCGMAAGCGUCGCAAGUGCCUGUCGCGGUCGACGGGAGCGAUUUCGGUCGUUUCCGUCGCGUGUGGCGCGUCUGUUGCGUCGCUCGAACGGGACGCGUCCCGGUCGGCGGUGGUUUUGUUUCGGGCACUCACAGGACCCGUCUUGAAAC